AAAAAGGCUUUGAUUGGGAGAAGUAUUCAUUUUGAUUUUGUCAGAGAGUAAACGCCAUUGGCUGAAAGCGUUUUCAAAGGAUUUUUGAAGAAAUGCACCCAUGAGCUGACAAAGGGAAAGUAGUAUCUUUGUCCGUAUUUCUGCGUUAAGGAUUUGAGGGUUGCUUUGAUUUUUGUUUAUAAAUCGGAAAGACCAAACUCAGGUGGAACCACGAUAUAUUCGUCCUGUAC
rnacentral:ncRNA from 1 species